rnacentral:rRNA from 1 species
GACGGAGGAUGCAAGUGUUAUCCGGAAUCACUGGGUUUAAAGGGUGCGUAGGCGGGUAAGUAAGUCCGUGGUGAAAUCUCUGAGCUUAACUCAGAAACUGCCGUGGAUACUAUUUGCCUUGAAUAUUGUGGAGGUGAGCGGAAUAUGUCAUGUAGCGGUGAAAUGCUUAGAUAUGACAUAGAACACCAAUUGCGAAGGCAGCUCACUACACAAUCAUUGACGCUGAGGCACGAAAGCGUGGGGAUCAAACAGG